rnacentral:rRNA from 1 species
GAUGAACGCUGGCGGCGUGCCUAAUACAUGCAAGUAGAACGCUGAAGGAGGAGCUUGCUCUUCUGGAUGAGUUGCGAACGGGUGAGUAACGCGUAGGUAACCUGCCUGGUAGCGGGGGAUAACUAUUGGAAACGAUAGCUAAUACCGCAUGACAACAGUUAUUGCAUGAUAACUGUUGAAAAGGGGCAACUGCUCCACUACCAGAUGGACCUGCGUUGUAUUAGCUAGUUGGUGAGGUAACGGCUCACGAAGGCGACGAUACAUAGCCGACCGGCGAGGGGGAUCGGCCAGACUGGGAGUGUGACACGGCACAGACUCAUACGGGAGGCAGCCGGAGGGAAUCUUCGGCAAUGGGCGGAAGUCUGACCGAGCAACGCCGAAGGAGUGAAGAAGGUUGUCGGAUCGUAAAGCUCGGUUGUAAGGGAAGAAAGAGUGUGAGAGUGGAAAGUUCACACUGUGACGGUAUCUUACCAGAAAGGGACGGCUAACUACGUG